GCCUGGGAUAGCUCAGUUGGUACAGCAUGGGACUCUUAAUCUUGGGGCCAUGGGUUCGAGCCGCACGUUGAGCA